GCUUCCUCUUUCCUUCAUUCUCCUGUACUGCCUUUGGGUCUCCCUGCAGGGCUGUGUUUGCACGAUCUUGUUUUCUUUCCCAGCUUCCCUAUCUUUACUCUUUCUCUCAGCUGAGCUCCCACCUCCGUUCUCUCUCAAGAUCUCCCUCUUCUUUGCAGCUUUCAUCAACUUCCAUGAGAAAGGAGGGCACACCACCAAAAAGAGUUUUGUAACGACUCUCUUGAGUUGGCUGGAUCCUCCUCCAUUACAAAGUACUCUUAAAAUCAAAGCUAACUUGAUUCACAAGGACCAAGAAGGGCAAUGUUAGAAGCUGGGGUUCUCCAAGCAAGUAGACCACAAAUGUGGACAUGGACAGCCCCAUAUGUCACUUCUAAGCCUAGGAAAGUUUUGACAUCCAUCUUCUACCUCCACCCUUUGUUUACCUCUGCUUUUCAAUAAUUUUGAGUUAAUUCAUUUGAGCUUUCAAGAAUACUUCCAUCAGCUGAAGAAGAAACUUCAUAUCCAUUAGCAAAAUACUGAUCCAUGCUAGAACAUGAAUGAACCUUGAAAACAGGUCGUAUCUAAGGGACCAUUGCCUGAUCCAACAUCAUGGAGAAUUAUAUCUCUGUCUGUCUUUAAGAGUUUUAUAGUUUUAACCACCUUAGGUCUUUUUCAUUUUAAUGUGUACAUCUGGUGUGAGGUAGGGAUCCGACCUCACUCUUUUGUGUAUAGAUACCCAGUUGUCCCAGCACUAUUUGCUGACAAGGUUAUUCAAUCCCCCAUUGAAUUAUCUUGGCACCCUAAGCUGAAAAAAUUUAAUUAGCUGUUAUUUUUGUGUUUGUAAGUGACCUUGGUAUAUUUACUUUUUUUAGUGCCAUUUUUGUCAGGCACUGUUAUCACAUUUCUAUAUAAGUGUCAUAAAAUGAGUUACAUCUUUUUCUAUGGUUUGAGAAAACAAAAGGUCUAAAGUAGUUCAAGAUCUACAUGGUUCAAGCCCCCUGGAGGGGUUCUCCUUACGCACUCUGAUACUUACAUUAUUUGGUGGCAGUCCCAGGCUUCUGCAAAGUGAUGAGUUUAAACAACAAAUGAAUACUUAACCCAGCUGAGUUUAAGCUGUAUUUUAAGAAUAAGUCACUACUUAAGAACACUUGUAUCCCUUCCUUCCCCCAUCCAUGUCAGCUUAAGUUAUCCUUUACAUUAAAAGUUUGCUUACCCAGGG